UGCAGAUAAGUUGCUAUUUAUCAACUGCAUAGAAUUUUUAGAGUCCACUCAUUCUUGUUAUUUUGGUAAAGCCUACAUGAUUACAAGUUUGUUUGUAGCUUUCUGUUUCCUGAUGUAAUUUCUUGUUGACUACUAGGAAGAUGUUGCCCAUGAAGCUGCUACUGGAAAGAUUUACCGGGCUGAUUACUCUGACAAAUAUGGAAGAUCUGUUCUUGUUAUGAGGCCUGGAUUUCAGGUGGGAGGGAAAUAUAAGAGAAAAUUGUGAAUAUUUAAUAGAUUUCUUCAUCAUCUGACUCUUAGGUUUCUGCAUGACAUGAAAGCCAUAUUGUGACUUUUUGCUUUAAAUUUUGUAUACGUGGUGGUUAUCUCCUUGAAAAAAGAAUGAAUGAAAAAACAAAGCUGUGUGGGCCACGUUCAUUAGCGUUUCAUCGUUCGAGUGUUACUUUAUAAUUGUACCAAUAGGUUGUGGUGAUAAUUUUCAAAAACAAAAGUUCUGAACUGGAGGACCAAAAUUUUUCCUGUGUCUUUCAUUUUUGGGAUUAUAGGUCUUGCUCGCAUGUUAUGUUUCAACAAGAAGGAACAUGUCAGAGAUAACGACCUUUUAUAUAUUACUGUCUUAGGGAUUGGGAACCAUUUAGUGAGAUUAUCAGGCUUGUAACUGUUGGUUCUUUUGUUUUGUUUUGUUUUUCCAGUUCCAGUUUUGUAAUUUCAACCUACUUAUAUUAAUUCAAAAGGUUUCACUGUUUUUGUCUUCCCAUC
rnacentral:lncRNA from 1 species